rnacentral:miRNA from 1 species
AAGUGCUGCCAGAGUUGAGUAU